AAAAUAAAUUGGAACCCGGGGCGUAGUCCAGUUAAGUUGUCCGUGGACGGGGAGGGGCGGGGUAUGUUGGACCUUCUGUGUGGGUGGUGCAGGGCAUCAUGGGUUCUUUUGCGCUGCGUGUUUCCGGGCCGUGCUGGGUGUGUCGGCUUGUCGAUGGUUGAUGACAUUCUGUCCCUGGCUGGCUCACGGGUUCUCUGGUUUCUCCGCUGUGGGAGGGGUCCUGUGGUCAUGAAUGUUCUUUGGAGUUCGUGCGUUUUGCCGGGGGGUCUCAGUAUCCUUCUCGUGGGCUCUCGGGGCUGGCGCCGUGCAGGGGUUGCCCUUGGAAAUGUU
rnacentral:lncRNA from 1 species